AAAGCAAACCCACAAAGAGUUAUUUAUAAGGCUCCACUAAAACGUACCCCAAUCCUAAUAUAUUUAGGAUUUCUACUCCAAUUAAUAUCUAAAUCUAUCUUAAUUAAUCUCUAAUAGAUUUAAAUAUUAAUCCUAAUCUAGUUAGAUUUUAUCCUCUAAUUAAUAUUUAAAUCUUAAUUUAUCUCCAAUAGAUUUAAAUAUUAAUUCUUAUCUAACU
rnacentral:lncRNA from 1 species